rnacentral:rRNA from 1 species
UACAGAGGUCUCGAGCGUUGUUCGGAUUCAUUGGGCGUAAAGGGCGCGUAGGCGGCGGGGUAAGUCUGGUGUGAAAUCUCGGAGCUCAACUCCGAAAUUGCACUGGAUACUGCUCUGCUAGAGGGCUGGAGAGGAGAUCGGAAUUCACGGUGUAGCAGUGAAAUGCGUAGAUAUCGUGAGGAAGACCAGUGGCGAAGGCUGAUCUCUGGACAGCUCCUGACGCUGAGGCGCGAAGGCUAGGGGAGCAAACGGG